UACGAAGGGGGCUAGCGUUGCUCGGAAUUACUGGGCGUAAAGCGCACGUAGGCGGCUUUCUAAGUCGGGGGUGAAAUCCUGGAGCUCAACUCCAGAACUGCCUUCGAUACUGGGGAGCUUGAGUCCGGGAGAGGUGAGUGGAACUGCGAGUGUAGAGGUGAAAUUCGUAGAUAUCGGGAGGAACACCAGUGGCGAAGGCGGCGACCUGGGCCAAUAUUGACGCUGAGGUGCGAAAGCGUGGGGAGCAAACAGG
rnacentral:rRNA from 1 species